rnacentral:rRNA from 1 species
AUGAACGCUAGCUACAGGCUUAACACAUGCAAGUCGAGGGGCAGCAUGAACUUAGCUUGCUAAGUUUGAUGGCGACCGGCGCACGGGUGAGUAACACGUAUCCAACCUGCCGAUGACUCGGGGAUAGCCUUUCGAAAGAAAGAUUAAUACCCGAUGGCAUAGUUCUUCCGCAUGGUAGAACUAUUAAAGAAUUUCGGUCAUCGAUGGGGAUGCGUUCCAUUAGGUUGUUGGCGGGGUAACGGCCCACCAAGCCUUCGAUGGAUAGGGGUUCUGAGAGGAAGGUCCCCCACAUUGGAACUGAGACACGGUCCAAACUCCUACGGGAGGCAGCAGUGAGGAAUAUUGGUCAAUGGACGAGAGUCUGAACCAGCCAAGUAGCGUGAAGGAUGACUGCCCUAUGGGUUGUAAACUUCUUUUAUACGGGAAUAAAGUGAGGCACGUGUGCCUUUUUGUAUGUACCGUAUGAAUAAGGAUCGGCUAACUCCGUGCCAGCAGCCGCGGUAAUACGGAGGAUCCGAGCGUUAUCCGGAUUUAUUGGGUUUAAAGGGAGCGUAGGCGGACGCUUAAGUCAGUUGUGAAAGUUUGCGGCUCAACCGUAAAAUUGCAGUUGAUACUGGGUGUCUUGAGUACAGUAGAGGCAGGCGGAAUUCGUGGUGUAGCGGUGAAAUGCUUAGAUAUCACGAAGAACUCCGAUUGCGAAGGCAGCCUGCUGGACUGUAACUGACGCUGAUGCUCGAAAGUGUGGGUAUCAAACAGGAUUAGAUACCCUGGUAGUCCACACAGUAAACGAUGAAUACUCGCUGUUUGCGAUAUACAGUAAGCGGCCAAGCGAAAGCGUUAAGUAUUCCACCUGGGGAGUACGCCGGCAACGGUGAAACUCAAAGGAAUUGACGGGGGCCCGCACAAGCAGCGGAGCAUGUGGUUUAAUUCGACGCAACGCGAAGAACCUUACCAGGGCUUGACAUAUAGAUGAAUAUAUAAGAGAUUAUAUAGCUCUUCGGAGCAUCUAUACAGGUGGUGCAUGGUUGUCGUCAGCUCGUGCCGUGAGGUGUCGGCUUAAGUGCCAUAACGAGCGCAACCCUUAUCGAUAGUUACCAUCAGGUGAUGCUGGGGACUCUGUCGAGACUGCCGUCGUAAGAUGUGAGGAAGGUGGGGAUGACGUCAAAUCAGCACGGCCCUUACGUCCGGGGCUACACACGUGUUACAAUGGGGGGUACAGAAGGCAGCUACACGGCGACGUGAUGCUAAUCCCGAAAGCCUCUCUCAGUUCGGAUUGGAGUCUGCAACCCGACUCCAUGAAGCUGGAUUCGCUAGUAAUCGCGCAUCAGCCACGGCGCGGUGAAUACGUUCCCGGGCCUUGUACACACCGCCCGUCAAGCCAUGAAAGCCGGGGGUACCUGAAGUGCGUAACCGCAAGGAGCGCCCUAGGGUAAAACUGGUGAUUGGGGCU